rnacentral:rRNA from 1 species
CCUACGGGUGGCAGCAGUGAGGAAUAUUGGUCAAUGGACGAGAGUCUGAACCAGCCACGUAGCGUGAAGGAUGACUGCCCUAUGGGUUGUAAACUCCUUUUAUAAAGGAAUAAAACGAGGCACGUGUGCCUUUUUGCAUGUACUUUAUGAAUAAGGAUCGGCUAACUCCGUGCCAGCAGCCGCGGUAAUACGGAGGAUCCGAGCGUUAUCCGGAUUUAUUGGGUUUAAAGGGAGCGUAGAUGGGUUGUUAAGUCAGUUGUGAAAGGUUUCGGCUCAACCGUAAAAUUGCAAUUGAUACUGGCAGUCUUGAGUACAGGUGAGGUAGGCGGAAUUCGUGGUGUAGCGGUGAAAUGCUUAGAGAUCACGAAGAACCCCGAUUGCGAAGGCAGCUUACUAAACUGUGACUGACAUUGAUGCUCGAAAGUGUGGGUAUCAAACAGGAUUAGAUACCCGGGUAGUC